rnacentral:rRNA from 1 species
AUUUGAUAGUACCUUACUACUUGGAUAACCGUGGUAAUUCUAGAGCUAAUACAUGCUAAAAACCCCGACUUCGGGAGGGGUGUAUUUAUUAGAUAAAAAACCAAUGCCCUUCGGGGCUCUUUGGUGAUUCAUGAUAACUUAACGGAUCGCAUGGCCUUGCGCCGGCGACGGUUCAUUCAAAUUUCUGCCCUAUCAACUUUCGAUGGUAAGGUAUUGGCUUACCAUGGUUUCAACGGGUAACGGGGAAUUAGGGUUCGAUUCCGGAGAGGGAGCCUGAGAAACGGCUACCACAUCCAAGGAAGGCAGCAGGCGCGCAAAUUACCCAAUCCCGACUCGGGGAGGUAGUGACAAUAAAUACUGAUACAGGGCUCUUUUGGGUCUUGUAAUCGGAAUGAGUACAAUUUAAACCCCUUAACGAGGAACAAUUGGAGGGCAAGUCUGGUGCCAGCAGCCGCGGUAAUUCCAGCUCCAAUAGCGUAUAUUAAAGUUGUUGCAGUUAAAAAGCUCGUAGUUGAACCUUGGGCCUGGCUGGCCGGUCCGCCUCACCGCGUGUACUGGUCCGGCCGGGCCUUUCCUUCUGGAGAGCCGCAUGCCCUUCACUGGGUGUGCCGGGGAACCAGGACUUUUACUUUGAAAAAAUUAGAGUGUUCAAAGCAGGCCUUUGCUCGAAUACGUUAGCAUGGAAUAAUAGAAUAGGACGUGCGGUCCUAUUUUGUUGGUUUCUAGGACCGCCGUAAUGAUUAAUAGGGAUAGUCGGGGGCAUCAGUAUUCAAUUGUCAGAGGUGAAAUUCUUGGAUUUAUUGAAGACUAACUACUGCGAAAGCAUUUGCCAAGGAUGUUUUCAUUAAUCAGUGAACGAAAGUUAGGGGAUCGAAGACGAUCAGAUACCGUCGUAGUCUUAACCGUAAACUAUGCCGACUAGGGAUCGGGCGAUGUUUCUAUCUUGACUCG